UGGGGAAUCUUGCGCAAUGGGCGAAAGCCUGACGCAGCGACGCCGCGUGGGUGAUGAAGGCCCUCGGGUUGUAAAGCCCUGUGGGGAGGAACGAACCGCGCGGGAGUGAAUACCUCUCGCGUCUGACGGUACCUCCUUAGCAAGCAUCGGCUAACUCUGUGCCAGCAGCCGCGGUAAGACAGAGGAUGCGAACGUUGCUCGGAAUUACUGGGCGUAAAGCGCGCGCAGGUUGCCUUGUAAGUCGUGUGUGAAAUCCCUCUGCUCAACGGAGGAAGUGCACGGGAUACUGCAAGGCUGGAGUACAGAAGAGGACAGCGGAAUUCCCGGUGUAGAGGUGAAAUUCGUAGAUAUCGGGAGGAACACCAGUGGCGAAGGCGGCUGUCUGGGCUGAUACUGACACUGAGGCGCGAAAGCGUGGGAAGCAAACAGG
rnacentral:rRNA from 1 species